CUAGCUACAGGCUUAACACAUGCAAGUCGAGGGGCAGCAUGGUCUUAGCUUGCUAAGGCCGAUGGCGACCGGCGCACGGGUGAGUAACACGUAUCCAACCUGCCGUCUACUCUUGGACAGCCUUCUGAAAGGAAGAUUAAUACAAGAUGGCAUCAUGAGUCCGCAUGUUCACAUGAUUAAAGGUAUUCCGGUAGACGAUGGGGAUGCGUUCCAUUAGAUAGUAGGCGGGGUAACGGCCCACCUAGUCUUCGAUGGAUAGGGGUUCUGAGAGGAAGGUCCCCCACAUUGGAACUGAGACACGGUCCAAACUCCUACGGGAGGCAGCAGUGAGGAAUAUUGGUCAAUGGGCGAGAGCCUGAACCAGCCAAGUAGCGUGAAGGAUGACUGCCCUAUGGGUUGCAAACUUCUUUUAUAAAGGAAUAAAGUCGGGUAUGGAUACCCGUUUGCAUGUACUUUAUGAAUAAGGAUCGGCUAACUCCGUGCCAGCAGCCGCGGUAAUACGGAGGAUCCGAGCGUUAUCCGGAUUUAUUGGGUUUAAAGGGAGCGUAGAUGGAUGUUUAAGUCAGUUGUGAAAGUUUGCGGCUCAACCGUAAAAUUGCAGUUGAUACUGGAUAUCCUGAGUGCAGUUGAGGCAGGCGGAAUUCGUGGUGUAGCGGUGAAAUGCUUAGAUAUCACGAAGAACUCCGAUUGCGAAGGCAGCCUGCUAAGCUGCAACUGACAUUGAGGCUCGAAAGUGUGGGUAUCAAACAGGAUUAGAUACCCUGGUAGUCCACACGGUAAACGAUGAAUACUCGCUGUUUGCGAUAUACAGCAAGCGGCCAAGCGAAAGCGUUAAGUAUUCCACCUGGGGAGUACGCCGGCAACGGUGAAACUCAAAGGAAUUGACGGGGGCCCGCACAAGCGGAGGAACAUGUGGUUUAAUUCGAUGAUACGCGAGGAACCUUACCCGGGCUUAAAUUGCAGAUGAAUUACGGUGAAAGCCGUAAGCCGCAAGGCAUCUGUGAAGGUGCUGCAUGGUUGUCGUCAGCUCGUGCCGUGAGGUGUCGGCUUAAGUGCCAUAACGAGCGCAACCCUUGUUGUCAGUUACUAACAGGUUCCGCUGAGGACUCUGACAAGACUGCCAUCGUAAGAUGUGAGGAAGGUGGGGAUGACGUCAAAUCAGCACGGCCCUUACGUCCGGGGCUACACACGUGUUACAAUGGGGGGUACAGAGGGCCGCUACCACGCGAGUGGAUGCCAAUCCCCAAAACCUCUCUCAGUUCGGACUGGAGUCUGCAACCCGACUCCACGAAGCUGGAUUCGCUAGUAAUCGCGCAUCAGCCACGGCGCGGUGAAUACGUUCCCGGGCCUUGUACACACCGCCCGUCAAGCCAUGGGAGCCGGGGGUACCUGAAGUGCGUAACCGCGAGGAGCGCCCUAGGGUAAAACUGGUGACUGGGGCU
rnacentral:rRNA from 1 species